rnacentral:tRNA from 1 species
GGCCUCGUAGGUCAGCUGGUAGAGCAUGCGCUGUGCAAAAGCGCAGGCGGCGUCCAUGCCGGGGUUCGAAUCCCACCGAGGCUA